rnacentral:rRNA from 1 species
CUGCGAGUGAAGAGGGAAAAGCUCAAAUUUAAAAUCUGGCAGCUUUGCUGUCCGAGUUGUAAAUUGGAGAAGUGUUAUCCGCGCUGGCCUGUGCAUAAGUCUCUUGGAAAAGAGCAUCAUAGAGGGUGACAAUCCCGUCUUUGGCACAGACUACCAGGGCUUUUGUGAUGCGCUCUCAACGAGUCGAGUUGUUUGGGAAUGCAGCUCCAAAUGGGUGGUAAAUUCCAUCUAAAGCUAAAUAUUGGCGAGAGACCGAUAGCGCACAAGUACCGUGAGGGAAAGAUGAAAAGAACUUUGGAAAGAGAGUUAAACAGUACGUGAAAUUGUUGAAAGGGAAACGCUUGAAGUCAGUCAUGUCUCACUGAAAUCAACCUGAUAUUUAUCUGGUGUACUUUCUGUGGGACAGGUCAGCAUCAGUUCUAAUCGCUGGAAAAAGGCCUUGGGAAUGUGGCAUCUUUUCUAAGAUGUGUUAUAGCCCUCGGACCACAUACAGUGGUUGGGACUGAGGAACUCGGUGCAAGGAUGCUGGCAUAAUGGCUUUAAUCGACCCGUCUUGAAACACGGACCAAGGAGUCUAACAUGCAUGCGAGUGUUUGGGUGGAAAACCCAAGCGCACAAUGAAAGUGAAAGUUGAGAACCCUGGUCACAAGGGGUGCAUCGACGCCCGGUCUUGAUCUUUUAGUGACGGAUCUGCGGUAGAGCAUGUAUGUUGGGACCCGAAAGAUGGUGAACUAUGCCUGAAUAGGGUGAAGCCAGAGGAAACUCUGGUGGAAGCUCGUAGCGAU